GACGUAGGGCGCGAGCGUUGUCCGGAUUUAUUGGGCGUAAAGAGCUCGUAGGCGGUCUGUCGCGUCUGCUGUGAAAACUCGGGGCUUAACCCCGGGCCUGCAGUGGGUACGGGCAGACUAGAGUGCGGUAGGGGAGACUGGAAUUCCUGGUGUAGCGGUGAAAUGCGUAGAUAUCAGGAGGAACGCCGGCGGCGAAAGCGGCUCUCUGGUCUGUCACUGACGCUGAGGCGCGAAAGCUAGGGGAGCAAACGGG
rnacentral:rRNA from 1 species